rnacentral:rRNA from 1 species
UACGGAGGGUGCAAGCGUUAUCCGGAUUCACUGGGCGUAAAGGGUGCGUAGGUGGCAUGGUAAGUCGGAUGUGAAAUCCCGGGGCUCAACCCCGGAACUGCAUUCGAUACUGCCAGGCUAGAGUACUGGAGAGGAGAUUGGAAUUUACGGUGUAGCAGUGAAAUGCGUAGAUAUCGUAAGGAAGACCGGUGGCGAAGGCGGAUCUCUGGACAGUUACUGACACUGAGGCACGAAGGCCAGGGGAGCAAACGGG